AGUGAACGCUGGCGGUAGGCCUAACACAUGCAAGUCGAACGGCAGCACAGUAAGAGCUUGCUCUUACGGGUGGCGAGUGGCGGACGGGUGAGGAAUACAUCGGAAUCUACUUUUUCGUGGGGGAUAACGUAGGGAAACUUACGCUAAUACCGCAUACGACCUACGGGUGAAAGCAGGGGAUCUUCGGACCUUGCGCGAUUGAAUGAGCCGAUGUCGGAUUAGCUAGUUGGCGGGGUAAAGGCCCACCCAGGCGACGAUCCGUAGCUGGUCUGAGAGGAUGAUCAGCCACACGGGAACUGAGACACGGUCCAGACUCCUACGGGAGGCAGCAGUGGGGAAUAUUGGACAAUGGGCGCAAGCCUGAUCCAGCCAUACCGCGUGAGUGAAGAAGGCCUUCGGGUUGUAAAGCCCUUUUGUUGGGAAAGAAAAGCAGCAGGUUAAUACCCCGCUGUUCUGACGGUACCCAAAGAAUAAGCACCGGCUAACUUCGUG
rnacentral:rRNA from 1 species